rnacentral:lncRNA from 1 species
UGCUCAAGAAUGAUAUUGACUUAUAAUUUUCUUCUCCUCUUUCAUUGUCAUCAAAGUUUGAUAUCAGGCUUUUGGCUUUUGCUGGACUCCUAAGAUGUGUUGGGAAGAGCUGUGUCUUUCUUCUCUGAGACAGUGUGGUAAGUUUCAUCUUGUUUCUCCCUCAAAUGUUCAGUAGAAUUUACCAUUGAAGUUCUUUGAGCCUGGAGUUUUCUAUGUGAAAAGGCCUUUAUUUACAGAGGCAAUUUUAAAAAGUGAUGGAGGGCUAUUUACAUGUUCUAUUUAUUUUGUGUCAGUUCUAGUUUUAUAUUCUAUGGAGUUUAUCUGUUUUGUCUAAGUUAUUAAAUUUCAAGCACAGUGAGGUUCACAGUAGUACAUACCCCCUCAAUGUACAAUGUCUUUUUUUUCCCUCAUUCCUGAUACUAAUAUUUCAUGUUUACUUUUCGUUCGUCUUUGCUCAAUGGUAGGUGUUACAGUUUUCUAUUCAUGCAUAGCACAUUGCCCCAAAAUUGAGUAACAUAAAACAAUAGUGAUUAUUUCACUUUCCCAUAGGUUGGCUGGUUACUUCCUCGUCUGGUUCCACCUGGGUCCCCCACAUGGCUGUCUUCAGCAGGAGGGCCUGCAGGACUGGACAUGGGCAUUAGCCUCACUCACAUCUUCAGCACACGACACCAGCUCUCCACGGAGGACCCCUCCAUUCUCAGUCACAUGGCCGCUCCUUCUCCUGGCCUGGCGGGUCUUCAACAUCACCGUGCUUGUUCCGCCUACUUCGCCCGCACUGGGACCAUGUUCCAGAAUGUGCAGGGCAGAGGUCACUUCCAAAGGAUGCCUUCUCCCUGCGUGAGGCUCAGAGUGUGUCCGAGGAGACGGGAUGCUCAGGUGAGCGGAGCCUGAAGAACACGGCACCGAAGGGCAGCCCCUGCCCUAGACCAGACCCCGCAGCGGAAGGGAAGGUGCUACGUGGGACGGGACAUACGGGCGAAGGAGACCCCAUGUCAGAGCGACGCUCACGGAGGCUGCGAGCUGGCAGGUCCACCUGAGAAGCGCUCCGGCCCCGGGAAGCACCCGCGGAAGUACCUGGGGACCAAGAGCCAGGGUGGGUUCAGCGUCCUCCCAA